GAAAAGGCCGUGUGGGGAGGACGUGGGCUGCUGCUGCUGCUUCAGAGAAGGACAGCCCCUAAAAGCUGGAGAAUCCCAUGAAGGGUUCCCCUCAUGCCAAGCUUUCAGAAUGGAUGGAGCCAGGCCCUGAUUCCAGCCUGGUGAUACCCAUGUUGAAUUUCUGCAGAACUGUCAUGGAACUUUUUCCUCCUGAACUUGUAACAGCUCCAGAAAUCAAGGAAACUGUAUGAAACUUAAUACACGAGAAUAUUUCACAAGAAUAUUUGUUCAUAGAGAAGUUUGGAAGUAUUCCUAAAAGUAAGUGUGGAGGUUUUAUUUCUUUUCCUCUUUAACUAGAAAGAAAUGCUUAUUAGCAAGAAAGUGGGCAUGUGAAAACCUAAGGAAGUUUUUAUUUGUGCGUGGAAAAUCAAUUCUGAAUCACAAAGUACAUCUCAAUCUAAUUUUCAAAACCGCAGAAAUCGAAUACUUUUCAUGAGUAUGUAUGAGUUUAUAAAAAUAGCCAGGUUUUAGGAGCUAAAAAACCAAAGUCUAAGAUAUUACGUCCUUAUUGUUUCGAUGUCAAUCAGAAUUUAAAACGAGACACAUACAUGGGCGUUUAAGAUGGAAAAUGAAGGUGACCUUAAAGUAGUUCUUGGUAGGGUUUUUUCCAAAUGAAAAUAAGAAAUGCCUCGGAGAUAGCAGGCCCAUGUUCUCUGAGACACAAGAACCAACACUUUGCAAUCCCAUCUGCCACUCAGACUACCACAGAUGUCUCUAGAAAAGAUGGCCUUGUGUGGAAGCAGAAAGUGCCAGGUUCACAAAAAUGAGGGACAGGGGAUGGGACAGGUGUGGUCAGGCACAGUGAGGCCUGGGCAGGCUUGACAAGAGACUCAUUCCUCCUAAAUGUAUUUUUUGUUGCUGUGGGUUUGUUUUUACUAUUUUUAUUUUGGUGGUACUGGAAAUUGAACCCAGGGCCUUAGCACUGAACUACAUCCCUAGCCCCCUUUUGCUAAUGCCCAAGCUGGGCUCAAACUUUUCCAUCUUCCUGCCUCAGCCUCCCAGAGUGCUGGCAUACAGGUAUGUACCACCAUGCCCAGCUAUCUUCCUAAAGAUCUUCAGAAAUCCAAGGAAGUCAUGUGAAAUAUAAAGACAAGAUGGAUUGGUUCAGGUGUGAAAUUUGGAAGUAUUCUUAAAAUGGUGAUAUUUCUUUUUCUCUUUGACUAGAAAGAAAUUUAUAUUUAAGCUAGAAAGUAGGCAUUUAAUUAAAAAAGAAAGACAUUUAAGAGUUAAAUUUUAAGACACAGAAAGUAGCCUUGAUUUACUACAAUUUGGGAAAUAUUUAUUGAGCACCUAUAAUGUGCCUCGUCGUAUGUUAGGCGAUGCUGAUGCAACAUGAAUUCAC
rnacentral:lncRNA from 1 species